rnacentral:tRNA from 1 species
GUGGUUGUAGCUCAGUUGGUUAGAGCGCCUGGUUGUGGCCCAGGAGGUCACCGGUUCAAGUCCGGCCUACCACCCCA